CGGGGGGCAGCAGUGGGGAAUCUUGCGCAAUGGGCGAAAGCCUGACGCAGCCAUGCCGCGUGAAUGAUGAAGGUCUUAGGAUUGUAAAAUUCUUUCACCGAGGACGAUAAUGACGGUACUCGGAGAAGAAGCCCCGGCUAACUUCGUGCCAGCAGCCGCGGUAAUACGAAGGGGGCUAGCGUUGCUCGGAAUUACUGGGCGUAAAGGGAGCGUAGGCGGAUAGUUUAGUCAGAGGUGAAAGCCCAGGGCUCAACCUUGGAAUUGCCUUUGAUACUGGCUAUCUUGAGUACGGAAGAGGUAUGUGGAACUCCGAGUGUAGAGGUGAAAUUCGUAGAUAUUCGGAAGAACACCAGUGGCGAAGGCGACAUACUGGUCCGUUACUGACGCUGAGGCUCGAAAGCGUGGGGAGCAAACAGGAUUAGAUACCCCAGU
rnacentral:rRNA from 1 species